rfam:Aeromonas hydrophila subsp. hydrophila ATCC 7966, complete genome.
CCUGGCGGCCAUAGCGCCGUGGAACCACCUGAUCCCAUGCCGAACUCAGAAGUGAAACGCGGUAGCGCCGAUGGUAGUGUGGCAUUCGCCAUGCGAGAGUAGGACACUGCCAGGC